UGUAACAAAGUGCCACAGAGUAGGGGGCUGGUAGACAACAUAUCCAUGUUCCCCACGGCGCUGGUGCCUGCCUGGAAGUCCGCGAUCAGGCGUCAGCAAGACCGGGUUCUGGCGAGGAACCUCUCCCGGGGUUGCAGGAUGCUGGCUUCUUGCUGUGGAAAGAGCGCAAGAGAGCUCUCCUGGGUCCCUUUUCCAUGGGCCCUAAUCCUGUUUGCAAGGACUCCACCCUGCUGACGUGGUCACCUCCUGAGCAACAGAAAUAUCAAGUAACUUGCCCAAGGUUGGGAUCCAACUGAUGGAGGUUUUGGAGUGGUGGAAGUCCAGAGCUGAUGGCCAAGAAAGAAUUCUGGAAGACGGCUUUGGUGCAAAAAGGCAUAGCUUGCAGGAACCAAAGCAAUCCCGACGAGCAAGGAGGAGCGAGGGAAGGAAUCGGAGAACAAGCGAAGCAGAAGUGACAAGGUCGUGAAUGUCUGUGAGGUUAGUCCACUCAAGACCAAGCCCAGCGUCUACAGAUUAAAAGCAGCCAUUCAUCUCAGCCCUGCUUCUGGGGCUGUUUGCCCUCUAUCGACCCCUUCCUGACACUCAGAGGAAUUGGCCUAACAUGCAGGACCAGCCACAAAGCUUGGGAGCCCAGCGCAGAGUGAAAAUGAGGGGCCCCUUCUGAGCACGGGGCCUGGUAUGACUACCAUGAAGCCAGCACUGCCUGCAGGUCUGCAACUUCAGGCCCUGCUCCAGUCCCUCUCCCUCUUGGUCCUGAAGCUCUCGACAUCCGCGGCUGCCCUUUUCCUCUCAGCCUCCCCAGGUGCUGCUCAAAGAGUCUUCUAUGCAUCUGUGCUCCUGGAAGAGGGAACUUCAUCCAGGAUCUUGCAGAUCGCCCAUCCGUCUUACUGCAGACACUGCUCUCCACGACUGUCUUCCUGAAGCACUGGCUUAAGUCCUCCCUGGGAGGAGCAGAGAGGUGGGUGCACAGAGUCGGAGUGUGCAGUGUGCAACCUGCAUAGCUGUAUGCAGCAGCCUCGAGUCAAAGGAGGACUUGCCCAGGAACCAAAAUUAGGUGUCCAGGAAGAUCUUCAGACAGAGUUUAUGUGCCCAGGACUAGUAACAAGAAGUGACCCUCAGAUAUCAUAUCACUUACUAUACCCCAAGCCCUGGUUAAGUUUUUUGCACAUAUUAAAUAAUCGAUUUCUUUCUCACUACUUUGAAAGAGUUACUUGUGUUAUUCCCAUUUUACAGAAGAGGCCCUGAGGCAGAGAAACCUGUCCAGGGCCACAGGGUCAGCAGAAGAGCUGUGAUUUGAGCCCAGUCAGUCUGUCUCUCAAGUCCAUUUCCAUAACCACUACACCACGCUGAGAGUGACAGCUUCAGCUACCAGGGGAUCA